rnacentral:lncRNA from 1 species
GCUCCCGUAGGAGUCCGGACGGAGCUUACCCGCGUUCGAAGUCGAGGAUGAAGUCCGGCUCCCGUAGGAGUCCGGACGGAGCCUUAUUGCAAAGGGGCCGCUGGGGAAGGUCCCCCUCUUUCUCAUCUGGUCUUAAAUGGCCAGACUUUAAUUGAUGUCGGGGUGAGGUUCUUUUCCUAUUUCUAUCAUAACAGGUUUCAGCUCUGGUUAGGAUGAGGUUCUCCUCUUGUCUCUAAUGCGGCUGUAGGGGCACAUAUGGGCGUUGCUGGGCCCUUCCCCCCAUCCGGUCUAAAGAGAACCGGGCCUUCAACUUUGCUCGAGUUAGGAUGAGGUUCUCCUCCUGUCCC